rnacentral:rRNA from 1 species
CUAGCGGCGCGCUUAACGCAUGCAAGUCGAGCGAUGAGGCUCCCUUCGGGGAGUACAUCAGCGGCAGACGGGUGAGUAACACGUAGGUAACCUGCCCUCAAGACGGGGAUAACGCCUGGGAACGGGCGCUAAUACCGGAUGACCUUAGUUGGGGAAGAUCCGAUUAAGGAAAGGCUAUGGCGCUUGAGGAGGGGCCUGCGGCCCAUCAGUUAGUUGGUAGGGUAACGGCCUACCAAGGCGAAGACGGGUAGGGGGUGUGAGAGCACGGUCCCCCACACUGGGACUGAGACACGGCCCAGACUCCUACGGGAGGCAGCAGCGGGGAAUAUUGCGCAAUGGACGGAAGUCAGACGCAGCGACGCCGCGUGGGUGAAGAAGGCCUUCGGGUUGUAAAGCCCUUUUCUGAGGGAAGAGAAAGGACGGUACCUUAGGGAUAAGCGUCGGCUAACUACGUGCCAGCAGCCGCGGUAAGACGUAGGACGCGAGCGUUAUCCGGAUUUACUGGGCGUAAAGCGUGUGUAGGCGGCGUGACAAGUUGGGCGUGAAAGCCCCGUGCUCAACGCGGGGAGGCCGCACAAUACUGUCAGGCUAGAGGGCACCAGAGGGGUGUGGAAUUCCCGGAGUAGCGGUAAAAUACGCAGAUAUCGGGAGGAACACCGGUGGCGAAAGCGGCACCCUGGGGUGCGCCUGACGCUGAGAGACGACAGCUAGGGGAGCGAACAGGAUUAGAGACCCUGGUAGUCCUAGCCGUAAACGAUGGAUGCUAGGUGUAGGAGUGAAGAGCUUCUGU